GGCUAACGCUGGCGGCGUGUCUUAGCCAUGCAAGUCGAGCGGACUUAUGGGGUAACUUAUAAGUCAGCGGCGGACGGCGGAGUAACACGUAGCUAACCUACCCUCUGGACGGGGAUAACCUACCGAAAGGUGGGCUAAUACCCGAUGUAGUCAUCCUGUAUAGGGGUGAUGAAAGGUGGGCUUCUGUUUACAAGCUCAUGCUGGAGGAGGGGGCUGCGGCCUAUCAGGUAGUUGGUAGGGUAAUAGCCUACCAAGCCGAUGACGGGUAGCCGGCCUGAGAGGGUGACCAGCCCGAGGGGCACUGAGAUACGGGUCCCACUCCUACGGGAGGCAGCAGGCUAGAAAUUUGGGCAAUGGGGGAAACCCUGACCCAGUGACGCCGCGUGCAGGAAGGAGCCCUUCGGGGUGUAAACUGCUGUCGUGUAGGGAGAAGGGUACUAAGGUGAACAAUCUUAGUACUUGACGGUACUACAGGAGGAAGCCCAGGCUAACCUCGUGCCAGCAGCCGCGUAAAGCUACGUGA
rnacentral:rRNA from 1 species